CUGCUGCCUCCCGUAGGAGUCUGGGCCGUGUCUCAGUCCCAGUGUGGGGGCCUUCCUCUCAGAACCCCUACGCAUCGUCGCCACGGUGGGCCGUCACCCCGCCGUCUAGCUAAUGCGCCGCAUGCCCAUCCGCCACCGGAUCGCUCCUUUGGCCACCGGAGGAUGCCCUCCGGUGGCGUCACGGGGUAUUAGGCCGCGUUUCCGCGGGUUAUCCCCCUGUGGCGGCCAGGUUGCAUACGUGUUACUCACCCGUGCGCCGGUCGCCGG
rnacentral:rRNA from 1 species